rnacentral:sRNA from 1 species
CCCUACCCCGUACGUUCACGGAGGGAGCGGCCGCCCGACCGGGCGGCCGCUCCCUCCGCGAGCGCGCGGGCAUCGC